UUCCUCUUCUCAUGGACGCGUCGACGGGACUGCCUCUCAGGCUCUCAGCCCUCCAGGUCGUAGACACAACCCCACCCACGGCUCCGCGCUGGUGGGAAGAAAGCGCAUGAUGUAGGUAUAGGGCGCUCGGCGGCCCGGGAAAGGCAACCUCGUCUUCUGCUGUUCUGCAUCUUCUAUACUACUGAUAAAUGGUCACUUGGGCUCAGUGGUCACAUGGGCUCAGAGCAAGUCCACAAUAAGAUUCUUUCUAUGGAACUCUGUAUCACUGGUUACAAUUGACAUGAGCAAAAGGAAAGUGCUGUCACUGGUUCCGUAUAUUGAAGAUAGUGACCUCAGGGGCAAAGACACUCUACCGGUCGUUCAAAGGCACAAUUAUAUGCAGUCAUUCCUUCUGUCUGAACUUCCAAAGUUCAUCGAUCCUGCCUGGUACGUGCAUCUCACAUAUUUUACCUGUGGGCACUUUUCAUUUCUGCACUCAAUUUGUUGCCUUCUUAAUAUGACCCGCUCUUGUCAACAUGGUUUAAUCUUACCUAGAACUGAAGUGAAUUGAAAUCCAGUAGUGCAUGUAUGUAAUUCUAACAUAAUGCAGCAUACGGAUGCUUUGAGAAAAUGAAAGCAUGGGCGGUAACCUUUUCAAUCCUACGCGACACGACUGAUCACAUCCCUUGACAGUGCAAGCCUAUCGAGAAUGUUUGGAUCUACCGAGGUUUCUUUGAGUCGUUCUUUGAAACUUCCCAGCAGAACAACCUCUGGAAAGCGCAAGCUUAAGCAUGUUCAGCAAAGAGAUUGCACCAUACACGUGAAGUAAGACAUUGAGCAAAAGGGUGGCCUUUGGAAAGGAUAAAUGCUAUUCCCUCCCCUCCGUUCCAUAAAAAUUGGCGCGGUUUUGAACUAGAAGCCGUGCCAAUCUUCGUGGAACGGAGGGAGUACAUUUUGCUAGAUGGAUUGUGACCUACAAUAGCUUUGUACAAAGUCAGCAGGAAAAUGGUUGCAAGUACUACUUCUAUUUGCGUGGGAUCUGCUGUAUGUUGCAACACUGAAA